UACAGAGGGUGCGAGCGUUGUCCGGAAUCACUGGGCGUAAAGGGCGCGUAGGUGGCGACCCAAGUCCGUGGUGAAAGCUCGUCGCUUAACGACGAGUCGGCCACGGAGACUGGGUGGCUCGAGCACUGUAGGGGCAGCAUGGAAUUCCGGGUGCAGCGGUGGAAUGCGUAGAGAUCCGGAAGAACACCAGUGGCGAAGGCGGUCUGCUGGGCAGUUGCUGACACUGAGGCGCGACAGCGUGGGGAGCAAACAGG
rnacentral:rRNA from 1 species